rnacentral:rRNA from 1 species
AUUGAACGCUGGCGGCAGGCCUAACACAUGCAAGUCGAGCGAGCGGCGGACGGGUGAGUAAUGGAUGGGGACUGCCCGAUAGAGGGGGAUAACUACUGGAAACGGUGGCUAAUACCGCAUACUAUCGGAUAACCCAUAUGGGAUUAGCUAGUAGGUGGGGUAAAGGCUCACCUAGGCGACGAUCUCUAGCUGGUCUGAGAGGAUGAUCACCCCCUCUGAGACUGAUACACGGCCCAGCCUCCUACGGAGGCAGCAGUGGGGGAUAUUGCACAAUGGACGCAAGCCUGAUGCCGCCAUGCCGCGUAUAUGAAGAAGGCCUUAGGGUUGUAAAGUACUUUCAGCGGUGAAGCGUUACCCGCAGAAGAAGCACCGGCUAACUCCGUGCCGGCAGCCGCGGUAAUAC